rnacentral:lncRNA from 1 species
ACUGUUCACAAUAAGAUUACUGUAGUUUGACUACACCAUAACUUGAUCUCCUAGCAUACGGAGUCUUGAGGUGUAUGUUGACUACAAUAAGUUCAUUUGUAGGAAUAAGAUCUGUACUUAAAUGGGAUCUAUCGAUCUUAGUAGAAAAGAAAAAAUCCUAUAUGAUUUAUAAGACUGAGUUCAGAAGAUCUUAGUCAAGG